UACGUAGGUGGCAAGCGUUGUCCGGAAUUAUUGGGCGUAAAGCGCGCGCAGGCGGUCCUUUAAGUCUGAUGUGAAAGCCCACGGCUCAACCGUGGAGGGUCAUUGGAAACUGGGGGACUUGAGUGCAGGAGAGAAGAGUGGAAUUCCACGUGUAGCGGUGAAAUGCGUAGAGAUGUGGAGGAACACCGGUGGCGAAGGCGGCUCACUGGCCCGUAACUGACGCUGAGGUGCGAAAGCGUGGGGAGCAAACAGG
rnacentral:rRNA from 1 species